rnacentral:rRNA from 1 species
UACGGGGGGAGCAAGCGUUGUUCGGAUUUACUGGGCGUAAAGGGCGCGUAGGCGGUCAGCACAAGUCAGUUGUGAAAUCUCCGGGCUUAACUCGGAAAGGUCAACUGAUACUGUGCGACUAGAGUGCAGAAGGGGCAACUGGAAUUCUCGGUGUAGCGGUGAAAUGCGUAGAUAUCGAGAGGAACACCUGCGGCGAAGGCGGGUUGCUGGGCCGAUACUGACGCUGAGGAGCGAAAGCGUGGGGAGCUAACAGG